UACGAAGGGGGGCUAGCGUUGUUCGGAAUUACUGGGCGUAAAGCGCGCGCAGGCGGUUCUUCAAGUCAGAGGUGAAAGCCCGGGGCUCAACUCCGGAAUUGCCUUUAAGACUGCAUCGCUAGAAUUGUGGAGAGGUAAGUGGAAUUCCGAGUGUAGAGGUGAAUUCGUAGAUAUUACGGAAGAACACCAGUGGCGAAGGCGACUUACUGGACACAUAUUGACGCUGAGGUGCGAAAGCGUGGGGAGCAAACAGG
rnacentral:rRNA from 1 species